AGGUUGCAGGUUGUAUCCCUGGCCUCACUCAGUGGGUUAAGGAUGUGGCGUUGCUGUGUAGGUCACAGACAUGGCUCAAAUCUGGCAUUGCUGUGGCUGUGGCGUAGGCCAGCGGCUACAGCUCCGAUUCGACCCCUAGCCUGGGAACCUCCAUAUGCCACAGGUGUGGCCCUAAAAAAAAGACAAACACACACACACACACACACACACAAAUAAAUUACAUUAUGUAAAAACAAAUAAGCAUAGGAGGGAUCUUGAGAGGGAAUGUGUGUAGUUUUCCUAGUAAAAUACCAGCAAGUAAAUGUAUUUGAGUCGGAAUACUAAGAAAACAAUGUUUUUCAGUGAUGUGGAGUGAGGGAAUAUUUCUACAUCCAUCUGGAUCUUCUGAACUUUGUUAUGGUUCAUAUAUUCACCAAAUCCAAGGAAUUUAAAAAAAUCCUACUAAAGCAAGGCCUGACUUUUAAAUGCGAUCAUCUCACUGUUCUAGUUUACAGAAGUGGAACGAACUUCCAUCUGUUGCCUCCUUGAAUGGUUCUGCAUUUCUUUCUCCUGCCAGAAUUAAUUAUGAAUGAUGCUUGAGAUUCUUGGUGCCUGGCCUAGAAGACAAAAGCUGCACCAUUCAACUCCACCUUCUCCCUGACAUGGAAUCCUUGAGUAGUUAUAGCUGCCUUUAGCAUUAGAGAGUUCUGAAAAAUUUUCUGGCUAAUUCAGAACAUUUGAGACACACCAUCCCGCUACUCAUUGGUGUGAACUGCUCAUCCAGGAUUUUUAAGGUUGUUGAUUAAACAUAAUGUGGUGGUGAUUUCUGUAUUAGCAACACGCGUGUGUGAUGAACAUGCACACUUAUUGUCAUGACAAAUGAGAUCGAAAAACAGGGACAGGUCAACACCAGAAAAAAAGUGAGGCAAAUAUACCAGACAUAAUGACAUGCUUUGUGUUUCCUCUCAAUAUAUUAAAAAAAAAGAUGACAAAAUGUUGUUCAUGAUUAAGUCAAAGGUUUAUUCAGUGUAGACACUAACUAACUCUUUUUUUUUUUUUUUUUUUUUUUUUUGCCAUUUCUAGGGCCGCUUCUGCGACAUAUGGAGGUUCCCAGGCUAGGAGUCUAAUUGGAGCUGUAGCUGCCAGCCUACACCAGAGCCACAGCAACGCGGAUCUGAGCCGCAUCUGUGACCUACACCACAGCUCAUGGCAACGCUGGAUCCUUAACUACUGAGCAAGUCCAGGGAUUGAACCCACAACCUCAUGGUUCCUAGUCGGAUGCGUUAACCACUGAACCAUGAAGGGAACUCCGACACUAACUCUUUGGAGACCUUAUUAAUGUAGUAUGAGGACCUAGAAACAAAAUACAACACUUCUCAAUCGAAGACAAAGAAGGUAGAGACAGUGAAAGCAAACCUUAAAGAAACCUGACAGUCAAAAACAAAAGAGAGAGAGAGAUAUGAAAGUAGCUUGAGGGGAAACAGAGGGUGAGGGAGCUUUUAUAGUUUAAAAUAAAAAUAUAUACUUGCACACAAAAAUGCGAAUACCUUUUAAAGUUAAGACAAUAAAUUUUUAAUUAUUAAAGAGUUAAUUUUUUUUUCCAACUCCCUCUGUGACAUAUGGAAGUUCCUGGGCCAGGGAUCUAAUCUGAGCCUUAGCUGUGACCUGUGCCAUAGUUGCAGCAAUGCUGGAUCCGAACCCACUGUGUCACAGCGGGAACUCUGAAAGAGUUUUUAAAUGUUUUCCUGUUCUCUGUAAUAGCUUCCGUUGCUGAAGCAACAUCUAUGUAUAUGUGUAUCGUUGCUGUAUAUCCACAAAAGAAUUUCCUUCUUUGAGAAUUAGAGCAUAAGAUACUACACUGUAUAGAUAAUCUCAGUCCUGCUGCAUCUCACAUAAGAGAAAUUUCUUUUUCAGCAUCUAAAAUCCUUAGGAAAUAAUAGAUACGCCUCAACCAUUUCCAGUAGGUUGCCAUUUCCUGAAGACAGGGUCCAAAUCCAUAGUUCAUUUGCAUCAUUUUUAGUAUCUGAGCUGUGACAAAAGUUACAGAUGCAGAUCAGAUCUGUUGUUGCCGUGGCUGCAGUUUAGGUCCCAACUGUAACUCUGAUUUAACCCUUAGCUCAGGAACUUCCAUAUGUGGCAGAUGUGGCUGUAAAUAAAAUUUUAAAAAAAGAGGGGAAAGUGAGUCCAUUAUCCCUUUCCUGCUUUGUUUCCAUGCUACUUACACCUGACAAUAUUUUUAGUCUCCCAAACCAAGAAGACAUAGAAUUUCUGAAGAUUUCUCAUUUAAUGUUCUCCUUUAACGGGUUAAAAUCAAUAGGAAGAUUCUUUCCUUUUUGGAACACAUUUUGGUUACAAAUAUUUUUAUUGUCAUUGUCUCCAUGAGCAAACAGACUAUGAUUUAAGGGGCUAGACUAAAGUCACACAUUAAUAGUCAACGAACUCAGGAUUGGGUCUUUCUGCAGAAGCUCAAUCAUGUGUUUUCUUCUACCACAACAUGGCUUGGCCAUUGAAUGCAUGCCAUAGAAAGUCUAGCUGGUUUUCGUCAUGUUCUUUGUUAUAGGCUCAUGGUAAAGAGAUAAGUUUACAAAGUAAACAAGGUAGACAGCAAAGAAGACAGAAGAAAGUACAAGCUGAGGAGAUGCCUUGGGUACAAUGUCCACAUGUGAUUGAGGAGAGUUGGCAGAUAAGAAUGAUCCUUACCAAUGAGAAUUAUCUUCUGACCCAUCUUGACUUCAUCCAGGACCCUAAAAUACCUGAUGAUUUCCUGUGACUUAAUGCCAGCCAGUUCACGAGUUGCUGUAAGCUCUUCAUCUGAUGCCCAGCUUCCCAUCUGCAAUGAUAACCACUUUUGCCUGAACUUCAGUUUUAUAUUCUCCUCAUGGUUUCUCCAAGCAUAAUCUGCUGGUAGUAAAUUUGACUGUAUUUUGCUUCUUUUCCUUUUAUCUGAAAUUCUGAAGAAAUCUUUCAUUUUGAUUGAGAUUCCUGCCCCAAUAUUCACUCUCGUUUUCUGAAUUUUUCCUGUUGCUCAGUUCUCACACGUGAUGUCGACCAACUCUUGAGUGUUUUGCAGCAGACAAGCUUCAUUCCUAUUAUAAUGCUUUACUCGUCUCCCAAUAUAGUUUGCUUUUUAAAUGUUUUAUUUCUUUUUGCCCUGAAAUCUAUAUUUGGCCUGCAAGGAAUGCAAAGGUAGAAUCACAGAAUCUUGAAGCUGAAAGAACGACUGGGAUUAUCCUUGACUUUGAUCAUAGACGCCUUAACGUUUAUGACAUUAAGUUCAAGACGUACCAUUGGGGCCCUUGAACCUCUAUCUGCUCUAGUGCUUAUCUAGCUUGUCUGUUCUGUUUUACUCUGUUCUUUAUCCAAUUUGUUUAAAAAUAAAUACAAAGUAUUCUGCUGCCUUAUGAAAGCAAACCAAAUAUUUGACAACUGCUAAUUAAGUCCAAUAUUCUGUUUUAUAGGUUUUACGUCUAUUGCUCUGAAUGUUUAAACAACUUUCGUAAACGUCUUGACUUAGAAACAACCACAAAUUCCUGAUCUAGGGGGUUUCUUUGUGCCUUUAUACAACUGUCUUUUUAAUGUGUCCAUCAUCCUAAGGAAUUGUAUCUAUGUUCAUGUUUCCCCUCCGUGGUUCCAUUGGGUUUUGUGACAAAGAAUUGCCAGACAAUGGUGACAGUGUGUCAUGAUCCCUGGGGACAGCAUGGAAGACGGGCUCUAGUCUUAGCUUUCAGACUUACUCCAUGCGUGGUUUUUGCCUAGCCGAGCUAUGUUUACUUGUGUGCCAUGUGGGCUUAUGGGGACUGCUUUUAGGCUGAAAUACUCUCUUAAUAGUGCUAGACUGUUAUCAGUAAGUAUUAUAUAUACACCCCCUAGCCUCUAAAUCUGACCCCUGCCACCUCUCCUUACAUCUUCAUAUAAUAGCAAGCUUCCAAAUUGAAUUUGCUACAAUCAUGCUGACUUUUCAAAUUCUCAUACACCAUCAAAUAUGUUUGCUUCUAGGCCUUCUUGUUCCUUUUGACUGGAAUAUUUUCCUACUUGUCUUUUACAUGACUUUAUCCUUUAUUUUCUUAGUUUUAUUUAUUUAAUUUUUUUAAAUAUAGUUAAUUUACAGUGUUGUGCCAAUUUCUGCUGUACAACAAAGUGACUCAGUUACACACACACACACACACACACACACACACGUUAUUUUUCUCAUAUUAUUUUCCAUCAUGGUCUAUCCCAGGAGAUUGGAUAUAAUUCCUGUGCUAUGGAGUAGGAUCUUGUAGUUUAUCCAUUCAAAGUGUAUAGUUCGCAUCUACCAAGCCCAAACUCCCAGUUCAUCCCACUCCCUCCACUCUUCUUGACAAGCUUUUCUUAUUUUUCAUAUCUCAGCUUGAAGGCCUUUAUUGAUAAUCUCAUUUAAAAUGGACUCUUUCAGUUAGUAUCCCAUAUCUUCAUCCUGAUUCUUGUAUUGGUGGCAUUUAUUACAAAAUGCAAUUAUUUUAUUUAUUAUUUUAAUUUGUUUACUCUCUGUCCCCAGAAUCACUAUGAGAGAGGGGCCUUUUUUGUCUUGUUAAGUGUUUUUUCUCCUGUGCCUGAUUACAUGAUAGAUGCUCAUGGUUGUUAAAUAUUUAUUAAAUAGUGGAAGGGAGGUUUGUUGAAUCUUGUAUCCCAUUUCCCUCCUACAUGGCUGUAUUCAUGUUACAGUGAAGAAACGCUUCAACAUCUGGAGUACUCUUUAGGUAAUCUGGUAAGUGACGCUGUCCACUCUACCUAUUUUUUAAGGCAUAGCUGGCUACAAGAUUCCGAAGCCUGCAGUUCCCAUCGUGGCGCAGUGGUUAACGAAUCCGACUAGGAACCAUGAGGUUGCGGGUACGGUCCCUGCCCUUGCUCAGUGGGUUGACGAUCCGGCGUUGCCGUGAGCUAUGGUGUAGGUUGCAGAUGCGGCUCGGAUCCUGUGCUGCUGUGGCUAUGGCGUGGGCCGGUGGCUGCAGCUCUGAUUAGACCCCUAGCCUGGGAACCUCCAUAUGCCGUGGGAGCGGCCCAAGAAAUG
rnacentral:lncRNA from 1 species